rnacentral:rRNA from 1 species
GUUAGGAAUAUUGGACAAUGGGCGAAAGCCUGAUCCAGCCAUGCCGCGUGAACGAUGAAGGCCUUCGGGUUGUAAAGUUCUUUAGCCGAUGAUUAUAAUGACUGUAGUCGGAAAAUAAGCCCCGGCUAACUUCGUGCCAGCAGCCGCGGUAAUACGAAGGGGGCGAGCGUUAUUCGGAAUCACUGGGCGUAAAGCGUGCGUAGGCGGUCUCGUAAGUUAGGAGUGAAAGCCCAGGGCUCAACCUUGGAAUUGCUCUUAAUACUGCAAGGCUAGAAUCUCGGAGAGGAUAGCGGAAUUUCCAGUGUAGCAGUGAAAUGCGUAGAUAUUGGAAGGAACACCAGUGGCGUAAGCGGCUAUCUGGACGAGUAUUGACGCUGAGGCACGAAAGCGUGGGGAUCAAACAGGAUUAGAAACCCUUGUAGUCC